GAUGCCAUCGUGGAAGGUGGAGCGCCGGCGUGCAAUGCAGUGCAGCGCUUCCAGCUGCACCUGCGCGCCCUUGGCUUUAGCGUGGAAGCGAAGUGUCUCUCGAGGCGCCUCGGCUUCUGCGGAGGGUGGGGUAGUAGCCCGAAAGAAAAUAGCUCUGCUGAUUGUGCUGGGCGCUGGAGGCCAGUCCCCGUGAUUUUCCCACAGAGAACCUGCAUCACUUGUCAAGCCCACAGCCUCCAGUGAGGGUGACUUUCUUGUUCUGGGAGAGAAAGGGGCUUGUUGGCUUCCCAUGGGGUGGAGAUGGGGGGAGGCUGGAAAGGGGAGGUCCCAGGUCAGCCCCUCAGAAUCAUGGGCUGGGCCCAGCCAAGGUCCAGAGGUGGGCUUUGAAAUUAGGGGACUUCCUGACCUGAUUCCACUUGGCAGCCAGGCAGGGAAAGUUCCUUACUGGGCAGCCCUUCCUUCCAACCCCCAGGCCUCUGGGAGGCCUGGAGGAAACUGGUGAGGAAGCUGCUGAGCUUCCUGCCUGAGGACUGCUCUUAGCCAGCUCCCCAGACCUCAUCACUCACCCUUCCCCCAUUCCGGCCCAGCUUUUACUGGGUUGGAGGAGGGAGGCUGGAAAGAAAAAGGUGUGAAUUCAAUCAGAACUUGAGCCUGACCCCAGCCUGGGGGGGAGCAAGUCCCCUCCCCUCCCAGAUCUCAUUAGUUUUCCCUGGGCCCCUGUCUCUGAUGACUCACAGGCCCUCAAUAAGCCAGCAGGGCACAUGCUAGGGAGGGUCAACCUGGUCAGGCACGGGGGAUACUCUCGAAGUCACCGUGGAUCUGUCCUUGAUGGACUCAGACCAAAGACAAGCCUACUGUGGUUCCCUCUCCUGAGGCAUCAGGGACAAGCCCUCACCCUGGCCUUGGAGGCCUCCGAACUUGCCCUCACAGGGCUCUGCUAUCCAAGCUCACCCCGCCCUCACCUGAGCUCUGCCCAUAUUGCCAACCCUUCCCAGAAUAUGCUCACCCCUCCUCCCUGACAGGCCUGCCCAGACCCCCAUUCCUGUUCCUUCCGGCUGUGCACAGGCUGGGGGAAGUCCCUGCGUAGACAGAUGGUGACCAGGAGCCAGAGUCAAGGCCCGACAUCGGAUGGACCUUUGUGCUUACUGCAGGGUCCCUGAGAGGCUCGGUGCAAGGCAAGCAGGUCUGACACCCAGAUUCUAACCCCAGCUCUGCGGCUGCCCGAGGCAAGCGACUGCCCCUGUGGCUCUAGGGUCUCCUGACCCACAGAUGGGACUGAUAUGCCUGCCCAGCCAAUGCCUGGAGUCUCAGAGGAAACUGAGCGGGUCGGGGGGAUGAAGUUGCUGCAGCUGCAAGUGGAGGAGCUUGCCCAGCUCCUCGCCCUGCUCUCCUGUACUGCCUCCUUCAUGGCACCACCAUCGCCUGGAAUCCACACACGGUCACCACAGUAGUGGCAGCCAAGGCGGCCUGGUUCCUCCCCCAAGCCCCAGGCCCUGGGUGCCACCUGCUGCUGCUGGGAAUUUCCUGAUGAUUUCUCCUGGCUCACUGCACACCUACUGCAGCUGGCUGGCCCCGUGGGAAGCAGGGACUGAAGAGAUGGCCUGGGAAUCUCCUGGGGAUUUCAUUAAAAUGCAGAUGAUUCAGAAGGUCUGAGGGCCAUGUCUGCUUUUUUAAGGAUUCUGCUUUUCUAACACGGUACUUCUGUGGACCCCACUUUAGGUGGCAAGACCCUAGUUCAUUUGGAGCUGGUAAGUACCUGGGCCCUCCACCUCCAGGCUAAGCCCUUCCCAAGACCCUGGAUCAAGGCCAUGAUCGGAAGCCAGAAUGAAUUAGUCUGUGGGUCCCUUCCAGCCCUGACAGGCCGGGCUUUUGGUCUGGGCAAUGGAGAGGCAACAGAACCUGGGCCCAGCUGACUUCAGAAGAUAACUGCAACCUUGGACCUUCUCUUUCACACCUGCCCCUGCCAGGCUCCCUCAGUGUCUCCUUUAGAAGCAGCCUUCCCGAGGCCAAAGGCAAGCUGGCGAGAAGUCAACCACAAUGCCAAGCAAGUCCAAGGUUCGUGGUCCUGCUGGCCCAGCCAGGUCCAGGCUCAGGGCAUCCCUGUGUCUCUGGGCAGUACUAGGGCCCAGAGAUCCCUCCUCCCCCUUCCUCUCCUGCAGAUCCACCUGUAUCUCUGACUACUCUGGGCGGUGGCCAGAAGGCUGGAGCUAAGGGCACCUGGUUGAUAAACCAUAUUCCUAUAAAAGAAGUAAUUAUGGAAUCUUAUCAGGGAAAUUAGAUCUCGAGCAUCAGCCUGGGUGGAACAUUACCAGGUGCUGAUCCUGGAAAUGCUCCCUAAUAAUUCUGUCUCAGGGGCUGCUCCCUAGGGAACCCAACCUCCAAGAGCCACCAACAGGAGAAUGGAAAAGUGAACUGCGAUGUAGUCACACCAUGGAAUGAAUGCUCAUGGCAAUAAAAAUGGACAAAUCACUUUUAUCCACAA